AUACGCUAAGCCCUCUGGUUGGUAGGUGUGCCAAAGCAUUGAGGCAGUAAAAUUAGUUAAAUUCGCUUUGAUUAUGGUGGGAUGGAAUGGGGACCGAAAUAUAGUAGCGAAUUAGUCAAUUACACACUGUCAAUCAACGACUCUAUCGUGGUAAAAGGUACCCGUACCGCAAACCGACACAGGUGGUGGAGGAGAGUAUCCUAAGGCCAGCGCGAGAACUGUUGUUAAGGAACUCGGCAAACUGACCCCGUAACUUAGGGAUAAGGGGUGCCACCAUCAGGUGGCCGCAGAGCAUAGGCCCAAGCGACUGUUUACCAAAAACAUAUGCUACUCCUAAAUCGCAAGCCGAUGUAUAGGUGCUGUCGCCUGCCCGGUGAUGCAAGGUUUGGGAGAUCGGUUAGAGCAAUCGAAGCGUCGACAUUAAGCCCCAG
rnacentral:rRNA from 1 species